ACAAAUAGUUUCACAACCUCCGUAGGUCUGACAGACGGUGUAAAUUUGAAAUAUUCGAAUCAUUAUCGGAGCAAUAUUAUGCAAAUGGCAUCUACAACCGACCAGCGAUCUCGUCGAUGACAAAAAAAUCUAACACACCGCUGAUCAUAAAUUAAAAUUAGCUGGCUAAGCAUUCCGACACCGAUGUAAUAACGAUGUAAAAUUAUGCGGCAUCUAUGGCCACAAAUUUGUUGAUCGAGAAUUGGCGCUCGGUGUGACCUCCGAAAAUAUCUAACAUAUCCAGUCGUUUGGUAUACGCAGACCUGUUCAAGUAUUGCGUCUUUGUUCGCGGCUAAAGCAUGUAGAUUUUCAUUAUUUCAUUCUAGUACGUCACGAAUAUUAAUUGAGUAUCAAUUAUCGUAUAUUGUCUCCCGAAUGGCGUGACACAAUAUUAUGCUUCGAUACAUUUAUGAGGUGAUUACACGGUAUCGCUGAAGUAGAUACAAAAACCACCGAUGCAUUUUUGAAAUAGGCAAUCCUCAUGUGUUUUUCCGACAGAAACUCACAGUGCGUAUUCUUCUCACGUUGCGUCCUCAUGGAAUUUGACAACUUUAUCCUUCGGGUCGAGUUUUUGAGAUGUGGCAUAUGAUUUAUAAAAACCAUGUAUCCUUGAAUUCUAGCACGAGUGAUAUUAUGGACCUCUCAUCGACUCGGCAGACCGUUCGGUUGAGAAAAAUAUACCAAUUCUACCUGACCCCGUCAGGACAACGCAUAACUUAGUCUAUCAUAGAGAAUUAUUACGAUAACUCGCGAGUUCCCUAUCGUUUUCAUUUGGAGUGAGGUCUCUUGAACUUCGAACUAUCGGGAACAGUGAGCUUUUUAGCUAUGCGCGGCUGUGACAAACUUGGAAUCCAGACGCAGCAUCCACUCGCUCGAUUCAACACAGUGGUCAGCACAUACUGCCGUCACUGGUUUUGGACCACGUGUAUCUCGCGAUGCAGGUUCUUUUUCAACUAAUACUUAUCAACUACUUGGAAAUGCGUGCGUUUAUAUAUAGUGCCUUGCUAAGAACACAUUCAACUGGCUUUCGAACACCACGCUUCGUCCGCGACUUGGCGUAAGAGAGAGGGACGUACACUACGUCUGGUCACGAGUAGACGUUUGAAAGUACGAGUGUACGUUUGAAAACGCGAGUAUUACGCUUACAUACAUACCCGUACGCUAGUACAACAUAGCUGAUAGAAGCACCAAGGAAGAUUGUGUAGUGCACACGUAUCGUACAGAUUCAACGACAUCAGCAACCGGCACAAAAUUCCCUCCGUUUAUCUUCGCUCCUCGAGUUUCUGGGAAUGCUGUUUUCUAUGUAUAUCAGCCGUUAUAUUAUUAAUACAUCACGUACGU